GGGGUCGACUGGAUUUGACAGCAAGAUGAAUCAACCUUGUUAGCAUGUGGAGUAUUGAAUAUUAGCUCCUUAAAUCAAAAUACUCAACUUCAUUUAGUUGGAGAAAACAACUACGCGUUAGCUGCAUAAUAAGACCGAGUCUUAGUAUCUUAAUCGCUUCACAAUAGUGGACCGACUAACUACCCAGUGAUGAAUUCCUGUUUAACUGUUCAUUGCAAUUGGGUAUCAGUUUGUUAAACUAGUAUAAGUAGAAUCUUGAUGCUUAUGCGAAACUCAAAAGAAUAAGUUUGUAGUGGAUUGCUUAUGGUCAGCUACUUAUCGAAAAUUAAUUGUAAGAUAAACAUGUAGAAAGCUCGCUUGUUCCUUGUUUGGACGGGAGUUCGAUUCUCCCCGACUCCACAG
rnacentral:tmRNA from 1 species